UGGGGAAUAUUGCACAAUGGGCGCAAGCCUGAUGCAGCCAUGCCGCGUGUGUGAAGAAGGCCUUCGGGUUGUAAAGUACUUUCAGUCGGGAGGAAGGUGUCAAGGUUAAUAACCUUGUCGAUUGACGUUACCCGCAGAAGAAGCACCGGCUAACUCCGUGCCAGCAGCCGCGGUAAUACGGAGGGUGCAAGCGUUAAUCGGAAUUACUGGGCGUAAAGCGCACGCAGGCGGUCUGUCAAGUCGGAUGUGAAAUCCCCGGGCUCAACCUGGGAACUGCAUUCGAAACUGGCAGGCUAGAGUCUUGUAGAGGGGGGUAGAAUUCCAGGUGUAGCGGUGAAAUGCGUAGAGAUCUGGAGGAAUACCGGUGGCGAAGGCGGCCCCCUGGACAAAGACUGACGCUCAGGUGCGAAAGCGUGGGGAGCAAACAGG
rnacentral:rRNA from 1 species